UCAGUUAUCAUAGUUGCAACUUGGACUGUUGACAAACAUGGAAGCUGAUGAAUCAUGUAGUAAAUACAUGAAAGUUUACUGUAGCUUGUCUAAAGUUCUUUCAAAGUGCUGUAAAAAUUUAAUUGAUUAUGAGGAGCUAGACCAGGUCUUCCUUUAUUCUCAACUGGUAAUUACUUUGAUAAGAUAACUGGUUCCUGAUUUGAUUAUGAAGCUAAACAGUUGAUUUAUAUGCAAGUGUAGUCACAUUAGAUUGUAGAUGUUAUUCAGCCCAUGGAUAAUGAUGAUGACCAGGUCUUCCUUAAUUCUCAACUAGUAAUAGCUUUGAUAAGAUAACUGGUUCCUGAUUUGAUUAUGAAGCUAAACAUUUGAUUUAUAUGCAAGUGUAGUCACAUUAGAUUGUAGGUGUUAUUCAGCCCAUGGAUAAUGUUAUGAUAUUCCACAAUUUAGGCAGCUUGUAGAGUCAUUAGGAAGAUGCUUAAUCCCAAUGUCUUGGUUGCAUGAGAAACUGCUAUCGCUUAGAUGUGUUGGCGAAGUUCCUCCUCUGAUUUUUGUAGACUUGCCCGAAAGUUGCUCUCUGCUUCAACUCUUGUUGAGCUAUGCAUUAAAUGAUUCCUCCAACUUGUCUCCAUAUCACUUUUUUCUCCCUGCAGCCUUCCACCACCCACUGCUGCUGUUGCAUCUGCUAAAGGUAGCCGUAUCCUGAUUCACUGCGUCUUCAUGUGUUGGGUAAGAAGUGUCAUUAGACUACUGACAAUGUAAACACCUUUUAAAUGCUUGAUCUAAUUUACCCAAAUGGUUCAUCAGUUUAGGGCAAAACAUCAUUGAAUUUGACAUUCUUGGGGUCAGUAACCUGACCUCUAAAUGUUUGGGAAACCAUGCAAAAGAUCGCAAGCUCUCUGCAUGACCCAACAGCACUGAUGUUUGAGUGAUUUAAGUGCUCAGUUUUUAAAUCAGUCAAGAUUUUAUGAGCUGGGUCUUCUUCACACAACAGAGAACAAGGUAAAUUGAGUCGACUCGUAACAUGGUAAGGCAUAUUGUCCUUCCCCUUCUUCUCUUUGUGUGAGGAAAUCUGGCCACAGAUCCUGACUGAGUGGCAUACCAUGGCUGUGCAGCUUCCAAAAUCAGACAAGGAUCCAUCUGAUUUUGUGACUCAGCCUGUCAUGAUAUGCAUUUAUCUUCCUCCAAAACAAAGGAUUGGAAUGGACAUGUUUGUAGUGUAAGUCACAUCACAUCACUUGUAGAUGGUGAAGCAUUUGUUUAAAUUGGAGUCAAGCAUUUUCAGGUGUCUGCUUUGUCAAUACUCUGGUGCCACGUCUUGCUAAACACAUGAGAAGCUCUGAAUUGUGAAACUGCUGCCUCUUGCAGAUGUUACAACAGCAAUGGCUGUUGAAAGGCUGCAGGGAGAGAAAAGGAGAUCUGAGGACAGGAAAGUGGAAUUGAUUUCAUGCUUAGCAAAAUGAGGGUUUCAGCAGAGGACCUUUUUGUGGCGAGGCUACAGAAUCAGAAGGAACGUUUGUCUGGGCAACUGGGAGAUUUACAGUUUUUCAUGCAGCCAACCAAGACAUUGGGGUUAGCAUCAUCCCAAAUGGCUGGCAACGAUUGCUUGUAACUGUCAGUGUAGGACAGGAAAGGCAGGCAUAGGUUAGGGAGGGCAUCCAUCGGUGAGCUCUGACUGGAUGUGAGGACCUAUCACACUUGACCUGAGAUGAAGGCUGCAGCACAUUCCUGGAUCAUAGGACUCAAUGUUGGACACCACGACCUGGAGAAGUCCCGUCCUGGAUGGCUGCGGUGAUGACCUCGCCCAAGAUGAACCGACCCUUCUACGACGAGGACUUUGCCCAAGAUGAACCGACCCUUCUAAGACGAGGACUUCGCUCAAGAUGAACCGACCCUUCUAAGACGAGGACUUCCCUCAAGAUGAACCGACCCUUCUACGACGAGGACUUCGCCCAAGAUGAACCGACCCUUCUUAGACGAGGACUUCCCUCAAGAUGAACCGACCCUUCUAAGACGAGGACUUCGCCCAAGAUGAACCGACCCUUCUAAGACGAGGACUUCGCCCAAGAUGAACCGACCCUUCUUAGACGAGGACUUCCCUCAAGAUCAACCGACCCUUCUAAGACGAGGACUUCGCCCAAGAUGAACCGACCCUUCUAAGACGAGGACUUCCCUCAAGAUGAACCGACCCUUCUACGACGAGGACUUCGCCCAAGAUGAACCGACCCUUCUUAGACGAGGACUUCCCUCAAGAUGAACCGACCCUUCUAAGACGAGGACUUCGCCCAAGAUGAACCGACCCUUCUAAGACGAGGACUUCGCCCAAGAUGAACCGACCCUUCUUAGACGAGGACUUCCCUCAAGAUCAACCGACCCUUCUAAGACGAGGACUUCGCCCAAGAUGAACCGACCCUUCUAAGACGAGGACUUCGCCCAAGAUGAACAGACCCUUCUACGAUGACGCCUCUUUUCCAUGGAAGUCUUCAGGAACAACCUGCUUCCUGCUCACGGAGACCUGGUCGGACCCGCCAUAUACAAAAGCCUGAGGCUGUCAAAAAAAAAAAGUCACUUUUUUAGUCUCAAUUUAAAUGGAUGAUUUUAAAGUUGAUUAGUUUUGAGGCGUCUGAUUUCUGCAGGAAAUUCUGGUACCUUAUUUAAAUCAAAGUUUACUGUAGCUUGUUUAAAGUUCUUUCAAAGUGCUGUAAAGAUGUAGUAAUUGAUUAUGAUGAGCUAGACCAGGUCUUCCUUUAUUCUCAACUAGUAAUAGCUUUGAUAAGAUAACUGGUUCCUGAUUUGAUUAUGAAGCUAAACAUUUGAUUUAUAUGCAAGCGUAGUCACAUUAGAUUGUAGGUGUUAUUCAGCCCAUGAAUAAUGUUAUGAUAUACUUUAAAUCUGGCAUUUGUUGCCACAUUUUGAUAUCCAUUGAAGUCUUAAACUUUAUGCACUGCCAUCAGCCUUUGUCGUCGCUAACUGAAAUAUAAUUCAAUAUUAAUGCUGACUUGUCUCACUCUGCCAAGUUUAUUUCCCUCUAAAGGAGUUGAACCUUUUUGUGUUCAUAGUCUUUUUGCGCGUCAUGUUGGGAGGCCUCCCAGCAGGGGAUUUUUAUCUUCCCCUGCAAAACUAUGCGUUACUCGCCUUAGGGAUGCAGGGCUAUCCUGCAUAGUUUCUUUCAAGAAUUAGAUUGUAGGUUGCAGGAUUAGAGCGCGUUUCUUUUCUUUAGGAGGACACAAACCUGGCAGAGAGACAACUCAGUUUAUUUAAAUGAAAGUUGCGCCAAAUGUUCUAACUUUAUAUCUUUUGAUACGACGACUUGAAAUAAAACUUAUUCUGUUGGCUGAAUUCAGACAGAAAUCAGACAGAAUUUGGCUUCAUGUUAAAGACUGUUGUGCAAGUACCCUCUUAUGGCAGGAGUGAGCAGCUGCAGCUUUUUAAUUUAUUUUUUGUUAUUUGAUUUGUUUCUUGGAUUGACUUGGUGUCUGGAGCUUUGUGGUUAACAGUGAUUAUGUAAACGUGUAAACACAAAUGGUCUUUUGCCUCUUAUUUGCGAAGCUGGCAGCUGGUUGAUAUGAUAGGACAUUAUGGCUUGCCCAAAGUAGGAUUUUUGAUAAAGCAUAGGGUUAACACCUCACCAUGCACUAGCUAUUUCAGCGAAGUGUCUGUAGUCCGUAAUUACCCAUGACUUUCUUUCAAAUUCCACAAUGUAGGCAGCUUGUAGAGUCUUAAGGAAGAUGUUUAAUACCAAUGUCUUGGUUGCGUAAGAAACUGCUAUCGCUUAGAUGUGUUGGCGAAGUUCCUCCUCUGAUUUUUGUAGACUUGCCCUAAUGUUUCUCUCCGCUUUAACUCUUGUUGAGCUAUGCAUUAAAUGAUUCCUCCAACUUGUCUCCAUAUCACUUUUUUCUCCCUGCAGCCUUCCACCACCCACUGCUGCUGUUGCAUCUGCUAAAGGUAGCCGUAUCCUGAUUCACUGCGUCUUCAUGUGUUGGGUAAGAAGUGUCAUUAGACUACUGACAAUGUAAACACCUUUUAAAUGCUUGAUCUAAUUUACCCAAAUGGUUCAUCAGUUUAGGGCAAAACAUCAUUGAAUUUGACAUUCUUGGGGUCAGUAACCUGACCUCUAAAUGUUUGGGAAACCAUGCAAAAGAUCGCCAGCUCUCUGCAUGACCCAACAGCAUCGAUGUUUGAGUGAUUUAAGUGCUCAGUUUUUAAAUCAGUCAAGAUUUUAUGAGCUGGGUCUUCUUCACACAACAGAGAACAAGGUAAAUUGAGUCGACUCGCAACAUGGUAAGGCAUAUUGUCCUUCCCCUUCUUCUCUGUGUGUGUGAGGAAAUCUGGCCACGGAUCCUGACUGAGUGGCAUACCAUGGCUGUGCAGCUUCCAAAAUCAGACAAGGAUCCAUCUGAUUUUGUGACUCAGCCUGUCAUGAUAUGCAUUUAUCUUCCUCCGAAACAAAGAUUGGAAUGGACAUGUUUGUAGUGUAAGUCACAUCACAUCACUUGUAGAUGGUGAAGCAUUUGUUUAAAUUGGAGUCAAGCAUUUUCAGGUGUCUGCUUUGUCAAUACUCUGGUGCUACGUCUUGCUAAACACAUGAGAAGCUCUGAAUUGUGAAACUGCUGCCUCUUGCAGAUGUUACAACAGCAAUGGCUGUUGAAAGGCUGCAGGGAGAGAAAAGGAGAUCUGAGGACAGGAAAGUGGAAUUGAUUUCAUGCUUAGCAAAAUGAGGGUUUCAGCAGAGGACCUUUUUGUGGCGAGGCUACAGAAUCAGAAGGAACGUUUGUCUGGGCAACUGGGAGAUUUACAGUUUUUCAUGCAGCCAACCAAGACAUUGGGGUUAGCAUCAUCCCAAAUGGCUGGAAAAGAUUGCUUGUAACUGUCAGUGUAGGACAGGAAAGGCAGGUACAGGUUAGGGAGGGCAUCCAUCGGUGAGCUCUGACUGGAUGUGAGGACCUGUCACACUUGAUCAGAGAUGAAGGCUGCAGCACAUUCCUGGAUCAGAGGACUCCAUGUUGGACACCACAGCCUGGAGAAGUCCCGUCCUAGAUGGCUGCGGUGAUGACCUAGCCCAAGAUGAACCGACCCUUCUACGACGAGGACUUCGCCCAAUAUGAACCAACCUUUUCCGCCUCUUUUCCACGGAAGUCUUCAGAUGUUGGACCUUGCCAAACUGGUCACAUGCCUCAAUGGCUGCUACGUCACUCUGCCCAACAGGACAUGGUCACCGAGAUUUUUUUAUUUUUUUUAAAUGGACUUUAACCCCCCUGUCCCCACUGACCCACAACCACACAUGACAAAACACUUUACAUGUGAUGCAUCACCAGAAUCACUAAAAUACAGACAGUGCUACUUUCAGCCUGUAGUGUUUCACAUUAAACACUUGCAUUUAUUGCCUUCUUUAUAUCAAGUAAAACUUUUGUUCUGAA